rnacentral:rRNA from 1 species
AUGCAGUCGAGCGGAUGAGAAGAGCUUGCUCUUCGAUUCAGCGGCGGACGGGGGUGAGUAAUACCUAGGAAUCUGCCUGGUAGUGGGGGACAACGUUUCGAAAGGAACGCUAAUACCGCAUACGCCCUACGGGGGAAAGCAGGGGACCUUCGGGCCUUGCGCUAUCAGAUGAGCCUAGGUCGGAUUAGCUAGUUGGUGAGGUAAUGGCUCACCAAGGCGACGAUCCGUAACUGGUCUGAGAGGAUGAUCAGUCACACUGGAACUGAGACACGGUCCAGACUCCUACGGGAGGCAGCAGUGGGGAAUAUUGGACAAUGGGCGAAAGCCUGAUCCAGCCAUGCCGCGUGUGUGAAGAAGGUCUUCGGAUUGUAAAGCACUUUAAGUUGGGAGGAAGGGUACUUACCUAAUACGUGAGUAUUUUGACGUUACCGACAGAAUAAGCACCGGCUAACUCUGUGCCAGCAGCCGCGGUAAUACAGAGGGUGCAAGCGUUAAUCGGAAUUACUGGGCGUAAAGCGCGCGUAGGUGGUUCGUUAAGUUGGAUGUGAAAUCCCCGGGCUCAACCUGGGAACUGCAUCCAAAACUGGCGAGCUAGAGUA